GAGUUAUACGUAAAUACUUUUUGUAACGUAAAAAUAAAAUAAAUUCAUUCAUAUUGUAGCACAAUAAACUAUUAAAUUUACAAUAUCAAGUGGACCCACAAUAACUAGAAUUCAAGAAGUUGUGAACCUACAGUUUUGGAAGACGCAAUCCAAGGAAAAUCCCCGAUGGAACCAGCUUUCUACAGACUACUCUGAUCCUGAAAUGGGUGGAAAGGAAGGUGGUGAGAUUAUAAAAUCCUAGUGAGUAAACAAACACCAUUUAAAUCAGCUAAAGCUGAGUAAAAGGAGACAAUUAAAAUAUCCCAUCACAAUACGUAUUUCACAAUUUGAAAAUUCAUCCCAACCCAUGCAAACGAUUGUAUUUCAUUUAAUUUCUCAUUAAGGCUUAUGAUUUUCAUAAACAUUUGGCUCAUGCCAUCAAAUAGUACUCUGUGACGCCUUGAUCAGAGGUGUACACUCGAGCCCACCAAGGCUGUUAAAAUUUUGUAUACACGUAAAACAUAUUUUUAGUUUGAGAAAAACACAGUCGUUCCUUGGCGUUAGCGGAGUUCAUCAUCACGAGGUGGUUCGGCGUGACGUGAACUCUAACCAUACCUCAGGAGAUACCCUACGCGCCUCUCCAACCGAGGUACAUAUAUAUAUAUCCAGAGUCUAUGUCCCUCUAAUAGGCUAGUCCACAAAAUCCGCCCACUGCAACAAGCUAAACCCACCAUACAAUAAAAUUCAUUCUAGGAUGACAUGGCAAUUAUUGUAAUUCACAGCCUUUCAAGGCUAAAUACACAUUUCAUAUAUUUCAACAUAAAUACCAAUUCAGUCAUUCAUGCAAAUAUUAUCAUAAGCCAUUUAUUCAAAUCAUAAAUUUUUCAACAUAACAAGUGGUCUCCAAUUUCUCUAUUUUUCAAAAUCAUCAUUCAAUUUUAAAACAAUUUAUAACAUCUUUUCAUGUAGACACAUUUUGUUUGUAAAACUCAAGAUUUACCAUUUAAUUUCAUUUUCAUAAAAUUUCAUCAAAAUCGAUUAAAAACAUACUUUAGAUAAUAAAAAUGAUGGUAAGGUUACUCACCUCACAAUAGUGGGAUUUCUACGUCGCUAUUACUUCGUAUAUGCGUAUAAUUAUACCUAAUUGCCCAUCACCUACUUCGUUCAACACGUUUUCCUAGCAACCAUUUAAAUUCAAUACAUUUAGUGAAUCAAUUCUACUUUUCUCUCUCUCAUUCUAUCAUAAAUCCACUCACCUAAUUCGCAUCUUAAUAUAUUUUUACUAUAAUUAAUUGCAUCCUUCGUUCACGUAAUUCUUUAGAGUAUUAACACCAGUAACUUAUUUACGGUAUUAAGUGCCUAUUUCAACCUUCUAAGCAAUUUAAAUUUACUUCAUAUCACCAAUUAACCAAUGCAUAAUUAAAUAAAAUAAUUUAGCCUCCAUAUAAUCCAAUUUCAAAAUAAAUCAUGGUGAAGAGUAAAGAAAUUUUUAC
rnacentral:lncRNA from 1 species